rnacentral:rRNA from 1 species
AGAUUGAACGCUGGCGGCAUGCCUUACACAUGCAAGUCGAACGGCAGCACGGGAGCAAUCCUGGUGGCGAGUGGCGAACGGGUGAGUAAUACAUCGGAACGUGCCCAAUCGUGGGGGAUAACGCAGCGAAAGCUGUGCUAAUACCGCAUAAGAUCUACGGAUGAAAGCAGGGGAUCGCAAGACCUUGCGCGAAUGGAGCGGCCGAUGGCAGAUUAGGUAGUUGGUGAGGUAAAGGCUCACCAAGCCUUCGAUCUGUAGCUGGUCUGAGAGGACGACCAGCCACACUGGGACUGAGACACGGCCCAGACUCCUACGGGAGGCAGCAGUGGGGAAUUUGGACAAUGGGCGAAAGCCUGAUCCAGCCAUGCCGCGUGCAGGAUGAAGGCCUUCGGGUUGUAAACGU